CCGUUUUCCUCUAUUUUCCCGUGAAGGAGAUAACACAAGCCAACCAGUCGGAUGAAGCCACAGCAGACCCCCUCCACUGAGCCGAUUUCUUCCUCCUCCUCCUCUUUUGCCGCAGCCUCAUCCUCCAUCCCGGAGCUCCGGCAGGCUGCGACGGCCGUCCUUUCGGCGAUGACACACCUUCUAACUAGGGCGGCCGCGGCAGCGCGGAGUCGGACGUCGUGGAGCGAGGGGGCGAGCACUCCACCGUGUGCCGGUGGAGGAGCACCGUCUUCCCGGCCGGCGACUGCAACCUCAGGAUCAGCGUCUACCAGAGCUCCGCCAAUGACGUCGAGAACCUCUCCAAGGUCCCGUUGAUUUCCCAAGGAACGUGUCAAUGACAUUGACUUCAAUUACAUGGAGUAUGCAAAGCAGAGGUUUCAGCAGUACUGGUUGAGGAAGUCUGCUGCAAAGGGAGCUGGGUGAAUUGAAUGGUUUCUGUGCCUUUGUACCUGUCAGCGUUAGAAGCCAGUAUAAAUAUAUUCUCAAGGCUUCUUCGGUACUGAAAUUAGAUUUUUUUAGUGUUGCAAGUUAAUGCUGCUAUGUUCAAUAAGCUGAAGGCAGCCCUGGUGUUUUCUUUUGGUUUUAGGAUUACUGUAAUAUGAGAAAAUUUCAAGUUGGUCAUUAGCGUUCAUAAAAAUUAAAGAAAUAUGCUUUAAUGAAAGCAUUUUGUAA